rnacentral:lncRNA from 10 species
UUCAGAUAUUGUUCUGAGAUUCUGACAAAGUGGACCACUUUAAACCAGGUUUAUAAUCUUCUCUAGGAAAAUCAUAAGCAACUCAGCCCAGGUUUUACGGGUUGGUACUACAGAUUUCCACAAGAGAGCAGCAUGUCCUCAGUUUUGAAAAGACAUUGGCGUGUUUUGCUUCCAUUCUCCACUCUAGAUUUCUUUUUUUCCUUUCAUACCAAUGGCUGCUAAACACAAACAUGUUUGGCUUCAUCUGGGAACAGUGAUGUGAACAUAAUACAUUCCUCCUCUAUGCAGGCACAGGUGAGACUCUACUGGACACAUGCUCAUCAUUUGCAAGAACACAGACCUGACCCAGCAUAAAGAAUGUGUUAAAUGACAAUGGGGACAGUGGAGAGCUGUUUGAGAUUAUGUAAUCUCAUUCUACACAAGCUGGCAGAAUUUUUCUCUUUAUUAAGUAUUGUUUACCUUCAGAAAAUUUAUCUUCCUCUCUUAGGAAUGAAGAUGGAAAUUUAACGCAAAGCAUCCUGGUCCUUGCUCAUUAUGAUUCUGUAAAGUCCUGCCAUUUAGGAAAUGUGUCUCAAUUUCUGUGGAGAUGAAGCAGGAAGGUCAGACUGAGCUUUAAUCAAGGUCAGCCGGCAACAUGCUGUCAGAUCAGCCCAGCUGGAAUGAACCCUGGGUGUCAAAGAAUGUUCUGGGAAUUUCCCGGAGCUUUGUGGAUUUCAGACCUGACACUUCACUGGCUCUUACAACAGAGGGCUCCUUCUUCCCUUUUUUUUUAAAUUUCACACGACAAUUUUGGAUGCCGUCAUGCUGAGUCUCAUCACCCAUCAGAACAUUUAAAUUAAAGACAUCUGACAGACGGAUUUGGCUUAUGAAUUCAUUUUCAUAAUGUUCAAAUAUCCACAUCAAGGCUCUGUGUCUGACAAGUGGGCUUCUUGGUAAUAAGCAUAUUAUAAGCCAGCAGGAGUCAUCUUGCUAGUUACAUUUUCAUGCAAGAAUUAGAUAUUAGGAGAUUCCUAGGUCAGUGCAAUCAACUGCAAUUUAAACAUUUUUAAAGGAUUUAUCAGCUUUUAGAAAUGGACUAUCAUGACUUCCAAAUGGGACCAGAAAUGGCAGAAAAGAAAAGCAUUGUAUCAUGAUACUUUUCCUAUAACCUUAAGCCCUUCAUCUUAAAACCUAUAACUGAAAUAUAAAAGGUGAUUAAAAUAACAAGUUUAUAAAAUAUCUAUUCUACAGGGAUUUUUUUUUCUCUUCCCUUCAACAAGACCUACAACUGAAAAUCAGCAAAGCUUAUCUUGCUCGCUUCGUUCCCAACCUCAGGCAGACUCUCAUUCCCAAGCUCCUCUAUUGUCUCCGAUACUUCACAGCUUACCCCAGGUGGAUUCUCCAGGUCUCUGUGCUUCUUCUCCAGUCCUCUAUCCCAGACUUCCAGGGUGUAGUCACACCCCAUGAUUAAUAAUUCCAUGGUAUGUGGUAAACAUCAACCAUUUUGCCCAUUAUUCUUCUGAGUCCAAAAAAAUAUACCUCAUCACGAGCUUCCUAAGAAGCAUUUCGUUAAUACCAGAAGGUUUUUCUAAUUGUCACCUUAGUCCCUGGCACAUAACAUGUGCUCAAUCAAUGGCUUUUUAACUGAACUAAUUAAGACAACUUUCAGCAGAUCAAGAGUGAAGAUAUUGUGGUUCACAAACAUUUUACAACACAGGCACAGGGCCUGAUAGACACUGACUGAUCAAUUCUGCAGGGAGAGAGAGAGAAAGAGACCACACAUAACAUUUUACUCAAUAAUUAGUUGUACAAGCAAAUUUGAGUCAUUUUAUCUUCAUGAGAAAUUCUUCAGAUCAAAUAACAGAAUCAUGAUAAUAACCAUAAAGUAAUACAAUUUUAGGCUCUUCCAAUGCACCAUAUAUUAUCAUCAUCAUGUUAUAUACAUUGCUUCUGUGCUGGGCUAUACCACAUGUAUUAGUCAGGAUAUGUGAGUUAAUGCUACCAAUACAGCUCUGAAAUCUCAGACACUUCAAUCAAACAGCAAAGACUUAUUUCUGGCUCUCGUUAUAUGGCCAGUGGAAGCCAGCAGGGGCUGACAGAGCACCAUGUCAAAACUUGAUUCCACAAAUCCUAAGUCAGGAGAAAGGAUGUGACAAUGACAACUAGUACACUGGUUUGUAAAGGCUUCUGCCUAAAAACCACACACAGCACUUCAAAAAUCCCUUCAAACCUCAAAAAUCACUCAAAAAAUUGAGCAUAUGAUGGAACCUAGAAAGUUCUUUAAAUAAAGUUCUUGAAACGACAACAAAGAAUUAAUUUAAAGUAACUGGACUGUCCAAUAGCAAAUACAAUAUAUUUUAUUUGCAAUGGUAGCAAAAGGUAUCACACGUUUUCUGUGUACCAGGUAUCAUUCUGACAUUUAACAGGUACUAGCUCAUUUAAUCCUCAGGAUAGCCUUCUAAGGUAAGUACGAAUACUAUCUCCAUUUGACUGACAAGGUAACUGAGGAACCAAGGAGUUGAAUAAAUUGCCCAAGGGCACACAGCGGCUAAGUAGUAAACAAGAGAUUGGAACUAGACAUUCUGGCUACAACAUCUGUACACUUAACCUCUGUCAAUCUAACCCAUUGCAAUACAUGUGAAGACUUUGUUGGUUAAAUUUCAGUAUGAAGAAAUAUACACAACAAUCUACAAUUAUACAAUUCCUGUCUAGUUUUAAUUUCCAGUUCUUUCAGUAAUGUGUGCCUUGAAGAACAUGUUCCUGGCCUGUCUGGUCUUUUCUAUUUUGUCUGUUAUUCUUGGUAAGUUCCUGUGGGGCAGAGAUCACACUAACAUCCAGCAUCAGGACAGCAACGUAAUUAAAGCUUAAUAAAUAUUUGUGGAGCAAAUUAAUAAAAUUCAAGUUGUCCAUUUCUUCUGAUUUAUCAAUCUGACUCAUAACAUCUAAACUAGAAAGUGCUUUUCUUAAUUUUUUAAUGUUAAUACAUAUUUUAAAAACCUUUGAGUACUUGGUCUGCAAAGUUCAAACAUAGUCAUUAUCAAUUGUUAAUUUCUGUCAAUGUACUCUCAAAAUUCUGGCCAUGUAUUUUGCCCAAGAAAUAGUUUGUUGGUAUCAAAUUGCACAAAUAUUCUUCUGAUCUCCCCCAUGCUGUUUAACCAUUUGGUACCAUGUCCCGUAGCCUGCAUGAGCACCC